GACGAACGCUGGCGGCGUGCUUAACACAUGCCAGUCGAACGGUAAGGCCCUGCUUUUGUGGGGUGCUCGAGUGGCGAACGGGUGAGUAACACGUGAGUAACCUGCCCUUUACUUUGGGAUAACUUCCGGAAACUGGGGCUAAUACCGGAUAUGCGCUCCUGCUCCCUGGUGGGGUUUGGGAAGUUUCGGUGGUUGGGGAUGGUCUGCCGGCUUCUUAGCUUGUUGGUGGGGUAGUGGUUUACCACGGCUUUGACGGGUAGCCGGCCUGGGAGGGUGACCGGCGACAUUGGGACUGAGAUACGGCCCAGACUCCUACGGGAGGAAGCAGUGGGGAAUAGUGCACAAUGGGCGGAAGCCUGAUGCAGCAACGCCGCGGGCGGGAUGAUGGCCUUCGGGUUGGAAACCGCUUUCGCCGGUGACGAAGCGUGAGUGACGGUAAUGGGUAAAGAAGCACCGGCUAACUACGUG
rnacentral:rRNA from 1 species